rnacentral:rRNA from 1 species
GGCUCAGAACGAACGCUGGCGGCGCGCCUAAUACAUGCAAGUCGAACGAGAAUGUGUAGCAAUACACAUGUAAAGUGGCGAACGGGUGAGGAUUACAUGGGUAACCUACCCUCGAGUGGGGAAUAACCAGCCGAAAGGUUGGCUAAUACCGCGUACGCUUCCGGAACUGCGGUUACGGAAGGAAAGCGAUACCGUGGGUAUCGCGCUCUUGGAUGGGCUCAUGCCCUAUCAGCUUGUUGGUGAGGUAACGGCUCACCAAGGCUUCGACGGGUAGCUGAUCUGAGAGGAUGAUCAGCCACACUGGCACUGCGACACGGGCCAGACUCCUACGGGAGGCAGCAGUAAGGAAUAUUGCGCAAUGGGCGAAAGCCUGACGCAGCGACGCCGCGUGGGGGAUGAAGGUCUUCGGAUUGUAAACCCCUUUCGGGAGGGAAGAUGGGAUGGGGUAACCCAUUCGGACGGUACCUCCAGAAGCAGCCACGGCUAACUUCGUGCCAGCAGCCGCGGUAAUACGAAGGUGGCAAGCGUUGUUCGGAUUUACUGGGCGUACAGGGAGCGUAGGCGGUUGGAUAAGCCCUCCGUGAAAUCUCCAGGCUUAACCUGGAAAGUGCAGAGGGGACUGUUCAGCUAGAGGAUGGGAGAGGAGCGCGGAAUUCCCGGUGUAGCGGUGAAAUGCGUAGAGAUCGGGAGGAAGGCCGGUGGCGAAGGCGGCGCUCUGGAACAUUUCUGACGCUGAGGCUCGAAAGCGUGGGGAGCAAACAGGAUUAGAUACCCUGGUAGUCCACGCCUUAAACGAUGGAUACUAAGUGUCGGCGGGUUACCGCCGGUGCCGCAGCUAACGCAGUAAGUAUCCCGCC